CAAUUCCAUAGCACUUCUCAGUUUCUAUGAUUCAGAGUACAGUUUUCUUAAGAUCACCAGGAUUUUGUUCAGCCUUCUUACAGCCAAAGACCAGACUGGAGCAACUUUCUACUCUAGAAUGGAUUAUCACUGGGACUCAGUACCUGCAUGGGGACUCCACUGUUCCCAAGGACCAUUUUUCUCUUACCUCUAUAUAUAGAGAGAUAGAGACAAAAAGAGGGAGAGAGACCACAGUAUCAUUCCACAAUUCAAGAAGCUUCCUCCCUGCAAACAUUCCCACCUGAUGGCUAGGGAUUCAAACCAAGGUCUUCAUACAUGAUAACACAUUUUACCAGAAAAUACCACGUGGAUUGGAAGGGCACAGAAAAACGAGAAAAACCAAAGGGGCAUCAAAUUUAAUGGUUUGGGCUUAGUCCAAAGGUUAGAGCUAUUGUCAGCUUUUAA